AGUGAACGCUGGCGGUAGGCCUAACACAUGCAAGUCGAACGGCAGCACAGUAAGAGCUUGCUCUUACGGGUGGCGAGUGGCGGACGGGUGAGGAAUACAUCGGAAUCUACUUUUUCGUGGGGGCUAACGUAGGGAAACUUACGCUAAUACCGCAUACGACCUACGGGUGAAAGCAUGGGAUCUUCGGACCUUGCGCGAUUGAAUGAGCCGAUGUCGGAUUAGCUAGUUGGCGGGGUAAAGGCCCACCAAGGCGACGAUCCGUAGCUGGUCUGAGAGGAUGAUCAGCCACACUGGAACUGAGACACGGUCCAGACUCCUACGGGAGGCAGCAGUGGGGAAUAUUGGACAAUGGGCGCAAGCCUGAUCCAGCCAUACCGCGUGGGUGAAGAAGGCCUUCGGGUUGUAAAGCCCUUUUGUUGGGAAAGAAAAGCAGCAGGUUAAUACCCCGCUGUUCUGACGGUACCCAAAGAAUAAGCACCGGCUAACUUCGUG
rnacentral:rRNA from 1 species